AUGUUGAUUUCUAGAUUUAAGAUCAUCAAGUCCAACCCUCAACCACCACCAUGUCCUCAAGUGCCACAUCCACACGUUUUUUUCACAUUUCCAAGGAUGGUGACACCACCAAUUCCCCAGGCAUCCCAUUCCCUCAGGAAUUUUUCCCAAUAUCCCAUCUUAACCUCUCCUGGAUUUCUGGAGGAUCCUGGGAAAAGCUCCAUGGCUCACAUGGCACAGGAGGAAAUACUUCACUCCAGAAAAUCCAAUGUGCUCAGAUUUUGGAAAAAAGGACAGAAAGAUUCAGGAAUAUGGAGAAAGUGCAGCUGGAACCAAAGAGGAGGUUCCCUGCAGAGCUUGAAGUUUCCUGUCCCUCCCUUUAAAUGUGGCUUUGUUUGCUGA
rnacentral:lncRNA from 1 species